rnacentral:rRNA from 1 species
GACGAACGCUGGCGGCGUGCCUAAUACAUGCAAGUAGAACGCACAGUUUAUACCGUAGCUUGCUACACCAUAAACUGUGAGUUGCGAACGGGUGAGUAACGCGUAGGUAACCUGCCUGGUAGCGGGGGAUAACUAUUGGAAACGAUAGCUAAUACCGCAUAAUAUUGAUUAUUGCAUGAUAAUUGAUUGAAAGAUGCUAUUGCAUCACUACCAGAUGGACCUGCGUUGUAUUAGCUAGUAGGUGAGGUAACGGCGCACCUAGGCGACGAUACAUAGCCGACCUGAGAGGGUGAUCGGCCACACUGGGACUGAGACACGGCCCAGACUCCUACGGGAGGCAGCAGUAGGGAAUCUUCGGCAAUGGACGAAAGUCUGACCGAGCAACGCCGCGUGAGUGAAGAAGGUUUUCGGAUCGUAAAGCUCUGUUGUAAGAGAAGAACGGGUGUGAGAGUGGAAAGUUCACACUGUGACGGUAUCUUACCAGAAAGGGACGGCUAACUACGUG